rnacentral:rRNA from 1 species
CCUACGGGUGGCAGCAGUGGGGAAUAUUGGACAAUGGGCGCAAGCCUGAUCCAGCAAUGCCGCGUGAGUGAGGAAGGCCUUAGGGUUGUAAAGCUCUUUCACCCACGACGAUGAUGACGGUAGUGGGAGAAGAAGCCCCGGCUAACUUCGUGCCAGCAGCCGCGGUAAUACGAAGGGGGCGAGCGUUGUUCGGAUUUACUGGGCGUAAAGGGCGCGCAGGCGGCGGACCAAGUCAGGCGUGAAAGCCCCGGGCUCAACCUGGGAAUAGCGUUUGGGACUGGUUUGCUAGAGUUCGGGAGAGGAGAGUGGAAUUCCCAGUGUAGAGGUGAAAUUCGUAGAUAUUGGGAAGAACACCGGUGGCGAAGGCGGCUCUCUGGACCGAGACUGACGCUGAGGCGCGAAAGCGUGGGGAGCAAACAGGAUUAGAUACCCGAGUAGUC